UCAAGCUACAAAGAGCACAAGGGGAAUGCCUUGGCAUCGGGAGCCGAAGAAGGACGCGACUAACUGCGAUAAGCUACGGGGAGCCGUAAGUGGGCAUUGAUCCGUAGAUUUCCGAAUGGAGCAAUCCGGCUAGAGUCAUGUCUAGUCAUCAUAUACUGAAUAAAAUAGGUAUAUGAGGGGAACCGCCUGAACUGAAACAUCUAAGUAGGGCGAGGAAAAGAAAUCAACCGAGAUUCCGCUAGUAGUGGCGAGCGAACGCGGAAGAGGCCAAACCGAGAGUAGUAAUACUUUCGGGGUUAGGACAGAAAUGUGUACACAGAGGUUUAGCAGAAUUGUAUGGGAAGGCAAACCAAAGAGAGUGAAAGUCUCGUAUGCGAAAAACUGAAGUGGCUAUCUGAAUCCAGAGUACCGCCGGACACGAGGAAUCCGGUGGGAAGACGGGGGGACCAUCCUCCAAGCCUAAAUACUAACCGAUGACCGAUAGAGAAGAGUACCGUGAGGGAAAGGUGAAAAGCACCCCGGGAGGGGAGUGAAAGAGAACCUGAAACCUUGUGCUUACAAGCACCGAGAGCCCGUCAAAGGGUGAUCGGGUACCUAUUGUAGAAUGGUCCGGCGAGUGAAUGUUACUGGCGAGGUUAAGCACCUAAGGUGUGGAGCCAAAGCGAAAGCAAGUCUGAAUAGGGCGAUUUUAAGUCAGUAGUAUUCGACCCGAAACCGGGUGACCUACCCAUGUCCAGGUUGAAGUGGAGGUAAAACUCCAUGGAGGACCGAACCGACUCCCGUUGAAAUGGUAGCGGAUGAGGUGUGGGUAGCGGAGAAAUUCCAAUCGAACCCGGAGAUAGCUGGUUCUCUCCGAAAUAGCUUUAGGGCUAGCCUCGGAAUAGAUUACUGGAGGUAAAGCACUGAAUGGGCUAGGGGCCGAGAGGUUACUGAACCCUAUCAAACUAAGAAUGCCAGAUAAUUGUUUUCCGGGAGUCAGACGGCGUGAGAUAAGUUUCGUCGUCAAAAGGGAAAGAGCCCAGACCCACAGCUAAGGUCCCAAAGUAUAGUUAAGUGGAAAAGGAUGUGGGGUUGCCCAGACAACCAGGAUGUUGGCUUAGAAGCAGCCACUCAUUAAAAGAGUGCGUAAUAGCUCACUGGUCGAGUGACCCUGCGCCGAAAAUUCAACGGGGCUAAAUUAUACACCGAAGCUUGGGAUACCGCAAGGUAUGGUAGGAGAGCGUUCUGUAAGGAGUGAAGUGAGAGCGAAAGCGUUCGUGGACUUUACAGAAGUGAGAAUGCCGGAAUGAGUAGCGAGAAAUAUGUGAGAAUCAUAUUGGCCGAAAGUCUAAGGUUUUUGGAGGAAGGUUCGUCCGCUCCAAGUAAGUCGGGAGCUAAGGUGAGGCCUAACGGCGUAGCCGAUGCACAUACGGUAGAUAUUCCGUAACCACCGAAAGAUUUAAACACAGGGACACCUUGAAAGGGCAUAUCCCGGGAGUUGGUUUACCCGGGCGUAAGGGAUCGAAAUUUGAGUAGAGAAGUAUGUUUGGACGAGGGCGAGAAAAGCUGUGUGUAUAUUUUAGGUGCCCGUACCGCAAACCGACACAGGUGGACAGGAAGAGGAUUCUAAGGCCAACGGGAGAAGGGUAAUUAAGGAACUCGGCAAAUUGACCCCGUAACUUAGGGAUAAGGGGUGCUCAUAGGAAUAUGAGCCGCAGAGAAUAGGCCCAGGCAACUGUUUAUCAAAAACACAGGUCUCUGCCAAAUCGAAAGAUGAAGUAUAGGGGCUGACACCUGCCCGGUGCUGGAAGGUUAAGAGGAGGAGUGAGAGCUCCGAAUUGAAGCCCCAGUAAACGGCGGCCGUAACUAUAACGGUCCUAAGGUAGCGAAAUUCCUUGUCGGGUAAGUUCCGACCCGCACGAAUGGUGUAAUGAUCUGGGCACUGUCUCAAUUACCCGCCCGGCGAAAUUGUAGUACCGGUGAAGAUGCCGGUUACCCGCGACAAGACG
rnacentral:rRNA from 1 species